GAUUUUCAGCUGGUCCUCGAAAAACGCAAUUAUACGCAUUUUUACUUCCGGUUGUGUAAAGUGUGUUAUCUUGGACGAACUGCGCGCGUGUGUAAGUUUUUCAGGUGGCAAGGUCACGUGGAAGAGAAUAGAGAUGAAUAAGGAAAUGCAAAAUCACGCUGCUCCAUGAUGUGGUCUCAUCACUUGUAAGUUGUUUGCGUUUGGUAUAAGCAUUUAAAUCACAUUGAAUCACGUUGAAACUGGUGAUGAAAGAUAUUAAUGUAAAUUGUGUUAAGUCACAUGGGAUACGUAGCUCUAUCGCCGCCAUUGCGCGUUCUUGGAACGAGCGCGACGGUGACGUUGCGGUGUGCGGCCUUUCGGACGAGAAGACUGGGCUUACGUUGGAUGCAAGUUAUUGUCGUCCGGCAAGGUUUUAAAAAGUGAUGUUAUAGCCACUGGACAUUGAAGCAAUUGAAGACCAGAAAGCCUUAGUGCGACCGGCUUGAUUCAGGUGGCUUAUAUGUAUACCAUUGGGAGAGUUAAAGAAGUUUAGUCCUCUAAAAGAAGUCCUCCGGAAAGUUUACUGCAACAAAGGUAACUCAGGCUAUAUUUGGGAUGCUUAAGGACUUACGCGCAACAGCAUUUUCAUAUGCUAUUUGCAAUAUGGAGCAUGAUAUUCUUCGGGAAGGACAGAUUUUGGGGCGUUCG